GUAACAUCUCACUAAAAUACCACAAAGAGGUGCUGUAAACCCACAGUAGCUAUUGAGAGUAACUGCCAAGAACAGAUAGGACUGCUGUACGCUCGCCUUAAGGUCUGACAUUACUUGGAAGGCAGAGAAAAACCUCAUUGAUUCAGUGCCUAGUUUGAAAAGAUGGAACCUGAUUUGAAGAAAUGUUCAACAUUUACAGUUAAAGAUGGUAGUUUGUCUUUGCAGCCAUGUACCAUAAUGAUACUUUCCAGGUGUUCAUGCCUGAAAAUAACUAUUCAAAUCCUUUUGUAUGCACUUCAAGAAACUGAACAGUUAUUUCAAGCUCUACAUUUAUUUUAAUAAUUGCAUACUUCAAAGAGCACCUACUCAGAUCUACUUCAGAGAAGGAAGGCUAUGACAUCUAUAAAGUUGACCUACAUGACGUUUACUGGUCUUGCACAUUGUCCUUUUUUGUUUGUUUGUUUUCUCCUGAAGGGUCCUCCUAAUCUGAUUUAAAGUAAAAUGCUGCUGUGUUUUUUUCAGCUCUUCUCUUGUGAAGAGUUUGGUUCACUUUUUCUCUAAACCUAGAGGAUUCCUCUGUCAGUGGUCAACAAAAAUAUCUCCCUUAUCUGUCCUGUGGAUCAAUCCUAUCUAAAUAAUUCCCCUUGUUGUUUUGCUAUCAGUAAAGCAAGAAUCUUCUAGUAAUGAGAACUUAAACAUAUGCAAGAGGCCAACACAGAUGUAUUGAACUCCUGUGAAAGGCACCAGAAACACUUAUGUUAAAAGGGGC
rnacentral:lncRNA from 1 species